rnacentral:rRNA from 4 species
ACGGGUGAGUAACGCGUGGGAACAUACCUCUUGGUUCGGAACAACACAGGGAAACUUGUGCUAAUACCGGAUAAGCCCUUACGGGGAAAGAUUUAUCGCCGAGAGAUUGGCCCGCGUCUGAUUAGCUAGUUGGUAGGGUAAUGGCCUACCAAGGCGACGAUCAGUAGCUGGUCUGAGAGGAUGAUCAGCCACAUUGGGACUGAGACACGGCCCAAACUCCUACGGGAGGCAGCAGUGGGGAAUAUUGGACAAUGGGCGCAAGCCUGAUCCAGCCAUGCCGCGUGAGUGAUGAAGGCCCUAGGGUUGUAAAGCUCUUUUGUACGGGAAGAUAAUGACGGUACCGUAAGAAUAAGCCCCGGCUAACUUCGUGCCAGCAGCCGCGGUAAUACGAAGGGGGCUAGCGUUGCUCGGAAUCACUGGGCGUAAAGGGUGCGUAGGCGGGUUUUUAAGUCAGAGGUGAAAUCCUGGAGCUCAACUCCAGAACUGCCUUUGAUACUGAAAGUCUUGAGUAUGGGAGAGGUGAGUGGAACUGCGAGUGUAGAGGUGAAAUUCGUAGA